CAGAAGCAAGAACAGGCUAGACCAGCCAGAAAUGGGGGCAUCCGUGUUUGUACUCUCCUGUCUGCCCGGCUGGGCCACACAGCCUGAACUGUGCAACAGGGAUACUGGAAUCCGGAGGAGAGUCAGGCUGCCUGCAGAGAGAGACCCUUUCCUCCGCUACCUGAUUGCCAGUUACAUUAAAUACAUGACAAGAGUUUAUUAACACUG